AACGAACGCUGGCGGCAUGCCUAACACAUGCAAGUCGAACGAGACCUUCGGGUCUAGUGGCGCACGGGUUCGUCACGCGUGGGAACCUUCCCUUAGGUUCGGAAUAACUCCCCGACAGGGGUGCUUAUACCGGAUAAUGUCUUCGGCCCAAGGAUUUAUCGCCUUUGGAUGGGCCCGAGUUGGAUUAGCUAGUUGGUAGGGUAAGAGCAUACCACGGCGACGAUCCAUAGCUGGUCUGAGAGGAUGAUCAGCCACACUGGGACUGAGACACGGCCGAGACUCCUACGGGAGGCAGGAGUGGGGAAUAGUGGACAAUGGGCGAAAGCAUGAUCCAGCAAUGCCGCGUGAGUGAUGAAGGCAUUAGGGUUGUAAAGCUCUUUUACCCGGGAUGAUAAUGACAGUACCGGGAGAAUAAGCUCCGGCUAACUCCGUG
rnacentral:rRNA from 1 species